UACGAAGGGGGCUAGCGUUGCUCGGAAUUACUGGGCGUAAAGCGCACGUAGGCGGCUUGUUAAGUCGGGGGUGAAAUCCUGGAGCUCAACUCCAGAACUGCCUUCGAUACUGGCGAGCUCGAGUUCGGGAGAGGUGAGUGGAACUGCGAGUGUAGAGGUGAAAUUCGUAGAUAUUCGCAAGAACACCAGUGGCGAAGGCGGCGUUCUGGACUGCAACUGACACUGAGAGACGAAAGCCAGGGGAGCAAACGGG
rnacentral:rRNA from 1 species